UCAUUUCUGCCAAGAUGCCGCGCACACAUCGACAUUGCAUCAACUGGGAGGGAGACGCAACCAAACGCCGCUGAACACGUGCACUUUUUGGUGUCGUGUCGGUCAUUUUAGGGACCGGUGGACGACCGUCCAGUAAGAGCAAACGUAUAUGAAGCAAGAUGUGGCAUGGCUGCCAUUAAGUCAGGACACGGUGAUGCAUUCAGGAGGUCUUACCGAUGGAUGAAGAACCUCUGGAAGCCAAAUAGUUGUUGGUACCAACUCUGGACUUUCUGGCUGGUACCGGUGGCGCACGCGUAAGUGAUGUGGUCCACGUGAGUGACAGCCUCAGGUCGGUGCUGCUUCUCUUGGUCGCCUUCCGUCACCAGGAA